rnacentral:misc_RNA from 1 species
GGUUGACAUUGCUGUGGACCUGUGGCGUUUUGUUCCUCAAAGAAAGCAAGAAAGAUCUCUCUAGUAUUAUAAAAAUAGCAAGUAUACAGACAUGAUGAUGCAUGUAAAAUUAAGGAAACCCCAAUUCUGAACUGGAGCAGGAUGGAUUCUCAUGUUGUUGCAAGUAUUGUUCUAUAAAGGAUGUAAAGAGUAUUCCAUACCAUAUCUGCGUCUGCAAACUACUUUGGCUUUUGGAGCUCUUAGUUCUACUCUAUUAGCAAA